AGCUCCAAUAGCGUAUAUUAAAGUUGUUGCGGUUAAAAAGCUCGUAGUUGGAUUUCUGCCGAUAGUUGGCGCUCCAUCCUUAGUGGUGAGUAGACGUCAAACUGCCGGCAUCUUCCUGGGGAGUAGUGAUGCACUUAACUGUGUGUCCUAUUAGCCAGGACUUUUACUUUGAGGAAAUGAGAGUGUUCCAAGCAGGCGUACGCCGUGAAUAUGUUAGCAUGGAAUAAUAGCAUCGGACCUCGAGCCAAAGCUGUUGGAUCCUUGGAACGAGGUAAAGGUGAAUAGGGAUUGUUGGGGGCAUUCGUAUUUAACUGUCAGAGGUGAAAUUCUUGGAUUUGUUGAAGACGAACUACUGCGAAAGCAUCUGCCAAAGAUGUUCUCA
rnacentral:rRNA from 1 species